rnacentral:rRNA from 1 species
ACGGGUGAGUAACGCGUGGAUAACCUGCCGUAUACAGGGGGAUAACACUUAGAAAUAGGUGCUAAUACCGCAUAAGCGCACGGUUCCGCAUGGAACAGUGUGAAAAACUCCGGUGGUAUACGAUGGAUCCGCGUCUGAUUAGCCAGUUGGCGGGGUAACGGCCCACCAAAGCGACGAUCAGUAGCCGGCCUGAGAGGGUGAACGGCCACAUUGGGACUGAGACACGGCCCAAACUCCUACGGGAGGCAGCAGUGGGGAAUAUUGCACAAUGGGGGAAACCCUGAUGCAGCGACGCCGCGUGAGUGAAGAAGUAUUUCGGUACGUAAAGCUCUAUCAGCAGGGAAGAAAAAAAGUCCUUUGGACUUUGGACGGUACCUGACCAAGAAGCCCCGGCUAACUACGUGCCAGCAGCCGCGGUAAUACGUAGGGGGCAAGCGUUAUCCGGAUUUACUGGGUGUAAAGGGAGCGUAGACGACAGCGCAAGUCUGGAGUGAAAUGCCGGGGCCCAACCCCGGAACUGCUUUGGAAACUGUGCAGCUCGAGUGCAGGAGAGGUAAGCGGAAUUCCUAGUGUAGCGGUGAAAUGCGUAGAUAUUAGGAGGAACACCAGUGGCGAAGGCGGCUUACUGGACUGUAACUGACGUUGAGGCUCGAAAGCGUGGGGAGCAAACAGGAUUAGAUACCCUGGUAGUCCACGCCGUAAACGAUGAUUACUAGGUGUCGGGGGGCCAAGGCCCUUCGGUGCCGCCGCAAACG